CAGUAGCCGCGGGAACACGAAGGGUGCAAGCGUUAAUCGGAAUUACUGGGCGUAAAGCGUGCGUAGGCGGUUUGUUAAGUCUGUUGUGAAAUCCCCGGGCUCAACCUGGGAAUGGCAAUGGAUACUGGCAAGCUAGAGUGUGUCAGAGGAUGGUGGAGUUCCCGGUGUAGCGGUGAAAUGCGUAGAGAUCGGGAGGAACAUCAGUGGCGAAGGCGGCCAUCUGGGACAACACUGACGCUGAGGCACGAAAGCGUGGGGAGCAAACAGGAUUAGAUACCCCCGUAGUCCCUGUCUCUUAUAA
rnacentral:rRNA from 1 species